UACGUAGGUGGCGAGCGUUAUCCGGAAUUAUUGGGCGUAAAGAGCGCGCAGGUGGUUGAUUAAGUCUGAUGUGAAAGCCCACGGCUUAACCGUGGAGGGUCAUUGGAAACUGGUCGACUUGAGUGCAGAAGAGGGAAGUGGAAUUCCAUGUGUAGCGGUGAAAUGCGUAGAGAUAUGGAGGAACACCAGUGGCGAAGGCGGCUUCCUGGUCUGUAACUGACACUGAGGCGCGAAAGCGUUGGGGAGCAAACAGGAUUAGAUACCCGU
rnacentral:rRNA from 1 species